rnacentral:lncRNA from 1 species
GUGAGUUUUGGAUACUACACCCAGCCACAGGUAUCCUCUCAAGGGCUCUGUGUUUCUACUGCUCUCCACCCCAGCCUCCUGACAUUGUCUGUCUAGUAGGUUGUCUUCCCAAGUUGUCAGACUGCAGCCAGCUCCAAGACACCCUCGCUCUCCAGGGUAUUUCCCAC